AUGCGAGCGGUAAGAGUGCGGCGGGACUUGGAAAUCGAAUCUGUGCUCUGUGAGAGAUCCUAGGAAAGGAAACUGGGAGCCCGGGAGAACUAAAAUUCCCAAUUAAAAGUGAAUUUAAAUCUGAGCUGUUCUUAGACCCAGAAUUUCUUGCCUGAAGGAGGAAUCAGGUCCCCACAAGGAAAGACCCUGCAACUGUAUAAAAAAAGAAUCUAAAAAGAUCAUGACUCCUUCAGUCCUUUCCCAAAGAGACCUAUGGAAAUUUCCUCAGGAGCACCCACAACAGAAUAGACAUUAAACAGCUGCAUAAACAAAUGACUCAGCCAGUUGAUGUCAGUCAGCCUGUGUCAACAGCCACCCCAAUGCUGGCACAAAAGGCACUAGAACAGAAUAGCCUGAUGGCAGAGAUGAAGUGUGCAUGGCUCCAGCAGCACGGACUCCUCUCAUUAAGGCUGAUCUAGCUACUGUUGCUGCCCCAUGUCUAACUUGCCAGCAACGGAGACCAAAGUUGAGCCCCGGAAUCAGCACCAUUCCUCAUAGAGACCAGCUAGUCACUGGGUGGAAGAGGGACCAAGCAAAACCCCAGAAGAGUUGAUCUCAAAGCUUAUUUUAUGAAGAAAAUUGACCUGAGUGACACAAAGGGUUGGACUGUAGUAGAUGUCACGUUUUGCUGCCUAGAUCUCCAUCCAGGGAUGAACUCUUAUUUCCUCAGCUUCUUUGUCUCCUCAGCUUCUGGGAGGGUUGGCAGCUGAUAUUCUCACCUGAGUCCCUUUCUAGGACUUGCCCUUGCCUGAAGAGAGCUGUGCUGCCCAACAUGAUGCCUCCUCCAAGGUACAAUCCACACCCAGUGACUAAUAAACAGGGGUUACAAAGGCAUGCCUGCUUGCCCCAGUUUGGGACAACUUUACCAGGCCAACCCAGCCUCAAGGCUCUCCACAGGAACAGGUGAGGCCAUAGUUGUGAUUACAUCACAGGUCAGUUUCUCCUCUGCCCAAGCCUUCUUCCUUCAUUCCUCCACAGAUGCUGAUCCUGAGAUUCCUUUCCAGUAAACUUCCUCCAUGCAAUCUUCAUCUCAGGAGUCUGUUUCCUGGGGAAACUAACCUGCAACUGAUACAAAUGCCUAUUCUGUGAGAUAAAACACUAAAAGUACAAUGCGAGUGGUAUAAAUAUUCUGCUACAGGAAUACAAAGUCAGGUAUCAUUUUUGACUUAGGUAGUCAGAGAAUGGAGAUAUUCUGAGUUGGACUUCUGAGAUACUAGGAUUCAAUAGGUGAAGGGAAGAUGAGAUGGUAUAAGACUAACAUAGGCAGAAUUUUGCUAAACGAAUUGGAGAUGAAACAUCAUAAGUGCAGGUGCACAAGUAGAAAAGUAAAAUCAGAGCUCAAGGAAGGAGAAGUGAUCCAGCUGGGCAGAAAUAUGGGGCCUAUAUAGAGAUAUACCAGGAAAUAAAGCCAGGACGAAUGGCAGGGUAGGACCUGAUUGUUAAGGGUCUUAAAUGCUGGGGUCAAGAUUGUGGCCCUUACUUAAAAGUUGGUUGGGCAUGAUUUUGGGAGUUGUAGCAAAAGAUGUGGCAAACUCAAAGCUUCCUUUUCAUGUAAAGUAUAGAGAAGUGGAGGUUCAUAUCAUUAAAUCACUGUAAUUUCAGUGUGAACUUCUAACAAUUUGAGCUAACCAUGAGAUAGGACACCUUAUCAAGCAAUGAGCUCUUCAUUAUCUAAAGAGAUGCUGAAUUUCAAGUCCAUGUAGAGGAAGUCUUGUGUUGACUAGAGCAUAAUAUGUCUGGGGGGACUUUUCUUCUUUUUUACUGAUAUUUAGUAACUUGGAUAUUGUGCUAAGUGCUUUACAGGUAUUCUUAUUUAAUCCUCACAAGGCAGUAUGGUAGAUAAUCUAUUAUAUUGAAAAUAAUGGGCCAGGCACAGUGGCUCACGCCUGUAAUCCCAGCACUUUGGGAGGCUGAGGUGGGUGGAUCACCUGAGGUCAGGAGUUCAAGACCAGCCUGACCAACAUGGUGAAACCCUGUCUUUACUAAAAAUACAAAAAUAAGCGUGGCAUAGUAGCUCACACCUGUAGUCCCAGCUACUCAGAAGGCUGAAGCACGAGAAUCACUUGAACCCACGAGGUGGAGGUUACAGUGAGCCAAAAUCACACCACUGGACUCCAGCCUGGGUAAGAGAGCAUGACUAGGUCUC
rnacentral:lncRNA from 1 species